CCUACGGGAGGCAGCAGUGGGGAAUAUUGGACAAUGGGCGCAAGCCUGAUCCAGCAAUACCGCGUGUGUGAAGAAGGCCUGAGGGUUGUAAAGCACUUUCAAUGGGGAGGAACACCUUAGGGCGAAUACCCUUAAGACUGACAUUACCCAUACAAGAAGCACCGGCUAACUCCGUGCCAGCAGCCGCGGUAAUACGGAGGGUGCAAGCGUUAAUCGGAAUUACUGGGCGUAAAGCGUGCGUAGGCGGCCUGUUAAGUCAGAUGUGAAAGCCCUGGGCUCAACCUGGGAACUGCAUUUGAAACUGGCGGGCUAGAGUUAGGUAGAGGGGAGUGGAAUUUCAGGUGUAGCGGUGAAAUGCGUAGAUAUCUGAAGGAACACCAGUGGCGAAGGCGGCUCCCUGGACCCAAACUGACGCUGAGGUACGAAAGCGUGGGUAGCAAACAGGAUUAGAUACCCUGGUAGUCCACGACCGUAACGAUGUCGACUACGCCGUUCGGGUCCGUUUUACGGGUUUUAGGUUGGUCGGCGNGCUACGCAUUAAGUACGUACCGCCGUCGGGAGGUACGGCCGGCCGAACGGUUAAACGUUAAAACGGUAAAGUUAGUACGGUUCGUUGUAGACGUUGCCGACGGCGACGACGAGGGAGGAGG
rnacentral:rRNA from 1 species